AUAGGGGAUAAGAUGUCUAGAGGCGGAGUACCCCUUUAAGACAUGUGUCGGCCAAACCCUGACGAUUUAGGUGGAAAUGGCCGGCCAUCUAAUGUAUAUGAGAGUCUCUAAUCUUUACCUUGACAUCACCAGAUCAGCUUUAAUGGAGGACUCUGAUCACAACUGAUAAUCUGAGUUAUCUCAGUACGGUACAGAAUGACAGAGGGCACAGGAGAAAACCCUGUCCAUCAAAAAGAGGAAAUUAAAUCUACAGUCUAAAUCCUAUGUGUUCAUUUAAGGCUUCUCCUUAGAAGACGUCCCUGGAGGUAAUUUAUUGCUAUGUCCAGGACAGCAAUUUGUCUUGGUUCACCAGGCACUCAAAGUCAAACCCUUUAUUCAAGAUCUUUACAAGUUUUC